rnacentral:rRNA from 1 species
AUUGAACGCUGGCGGCAGGCCUAACACAUGCAAGUCGAGCGGAUGAAGGGAGCUUACUCCUGGAUUCAGCGGCGGACGGGUGAGUAAUGCCUGGGAAUCUGCCUGGUAGUGGGGGAUAACGUCCGGAAACGGGCGCUAAUACCGCAUACGUCCUGAGGGAGAAAGUGGGGGAUCUUCGGACCUCACGCUGUCAGAUGAGCCUAGGUCGGAUUAGCUAGUUGGUGGGGUAAAGGCCUACCAAGGCGACGAUCCGUAACUGGUCUGAGAGGAUGAUCAGUCACACUGGAACUGAGACACGGUCCAGACUCCUACGGGAGGCAGCAGUGGGGAAUAUUGGACAAUGGGCGAAAGCCUGAUCCAGCCAUGCCGCGUGUGUGAAGAAGGUCUUCGGAUUGUAAAGCACUUUAAGUUGGGAGGAAGGGCAGUAAGUUAAUACCUUGCUGUUUUAACGUUACCAACAGAAUAAGCACCGGCUAACUUCGUG